rnacentral:misc_RNA from 1 species
UUGAGUCUAUAAUGGGCACAUUUAAUUGGUAUGACUAGCUUGUCUAAAGUUCAUCUCAGAAAUUGAAUCUCCUCUCAUUGUAAAUAAAAGUACAGAUAUAAAGGAAUUAUAUAAAAUAAUUGCACUAGCCAGAGGUUCUCAAAAUGGUAUUGUGCUACCGCAUGUGUAAGAAGUAACCUUGCUCUAUGAAUUUAACAUUAGAUGGGGGCAAAUUUUUUUUUUUUUUUUUUGGUGCAAGGAACCAGUAACCAGAAAAACUAGAUGAUGGUCAACCCCAAAAAUAUUGAUGAGCGCAAUAAAAUGAUCCACAAGAUCACGCAAAUGUUGAGAGGAUAUUCUUCUUAAGGGUGAAUUCAUCUGCCUUCGCUGGGCUGAUCGACUGCACAAUAAAAGAUGAGCAAUGAGUCAGCACAACUAUUACAUGCUUAUUAAAUUCACUUUCUGAUGAUGAUGUCAACGCCCAAAAUCGAAAAGGCAAUCUAUUUACUAGAAAUCACCAAAGAAUAUUGUAUGAUUAUUUGUGACCUCAAUCAGAGAUUUUUCGCCCCAAUGCUGUCAUCUCAAAAUGUAGGAAGAUUUUGCUAAAAAGGUGUAAGAAGGAUAAACUUUUAAUUCAAAUUAUACUUCAACUGGGAGAAUGCAGUAUGUAAUGUUACCUUGUCAAGCAUGCGCUGCAGCCGCUCAAUUUCAUUUUUGGUAUAAUCAGAACCUUUGGCCAUACAGUUCUUAGCAGUUUUCACGUAAAUCUUUCCAUACCUAAUAAAACCAGGAAUAGACAUGGUCAUAUCCUAUGUUCACAAGAUCUUUAAUAAGAAAAGUCAAAUACACAAAACCUACGACAGUUUUGAGCAAUAUAUUUAUUAAAUUAAAUUUAAAAAGAACCACUGAUCCCAUGAGGUACCUUGCAGUGGAACCCUUAAGUUUCUCAACUUCCUCUUCUAUCCGAGAAACCACUGCUUUCUUUUUAUCAUCAUCGGCAGCUACAAACUCUUUCACUAAGGCAUCCAAAGAUUCAACUAUACCAGCUUUUGAGGUAAGUUGUCCUUUUCCAUCACGACUGGUUCCACACUUUUCAUUAAUGAAAUUGACAAAGUCUUCCAAGUCUCUACCACCCUCAUAUUCUUCCCCAGCUUUGUUGCCUUUUGGAAAGAAUUUAAGCGUUGGGAAUCCACUUACUCCAAACUUUUCAGCUAGAUCCCUAUAUUUGUCAGCAUCUAGAUUGGUAAUCACUACAUCUUCCUCUGAUUUAAAUGCUGUAGCUACCUUUUCAUACGUAGGAGCAAGAUUUUUGCAAUGGCCACACCAUGGUGCAUAAAACUCAACCAAAACAUCUUUGGUUUCAUCCAAGACAACCUCAUUAAAAUUAUCAGCCGUCAGCACCACUACAUUGGAUGGCACUGUAGCUAUCUUUACAUUGGUUCCUCCUUCAUUAUUCACAAACUCAGCAAGGGAUUCUGCAUUUCGUGGGCCUUCAUACUUUUUGGGCUCCAGAGAUCCUUUAGCGAACCAUUGAAUUGUUGGAUAUCCAGAAACCCCAUAUUUACUGCAUAAGCUCUUAUGCUCAUCACAGUCCACCUUUCCAAUCAAAACAGACUUUGCCUUCUUAAAGCUUGUUCCAAGUUUCUCAUACUCGGGAGCAAGCUUUUUACAAUGUCCACACCAAGGAGCGUAGAAUUCAACGAGAGCGCCUCUGUCUUGACCGACCUCCUUCUCGAAGUUAUCUUCUGUUAGCACAACGACGUCGUCUGCUAAGGCUGAUAAGGCGAAAAAGGUCAGUGUACCUAACACUAACCAGAUCUGCUGGUACUUCUCCAUCACCAUCUUUCUUUCCUUCUUUCCGCUGUUUAGCUUUCCUUGUUUUUUUAACCUCAGCUUAAAAAGGACGAGAGUCGAAUUUUAUUCGGCAUGAGAAAUGUUAAAUGAAGAAGACACUAGGUU